UACGGAGGGGGCGAGCGUUGUUCGGAAUCAUUGGGCGUAAAGGGCGCGUAGGCGGCCGUCCAAGUCGGGUGUGAAAUCCCUCGGCUCAACCGAGGAACUGCACUCGAUACUGGUCGGCUAGAGUCCGGGAGGGGAUGGUGGAAUUCCCAGUGUAGCGGUGAAAUGCGUAGAUAUUGGGAAGAACACCGGUGGCGAAGGCGGCCAGCUGGACCGGAACUGACGCUGAGGCGCGAAAGCCAGGGGAGCGAAUGGG
rnacentral:rRNA from 1 species